rnacentral:rRNA from 1 species
GGGCCCGCACAAGCGGUGGAGCAUGUGGUUUAAUUCGAUGCAACGCGAAGAACCUUACCAGGGUUUGACAUCCUGCGAAUCUCUUGGAAACAGGAGAGUGCCUUCGGGAACGCAGUGACAGGUGGUGCAUGGCUGUCGUCAGCUCGUGUCGUGAGAUGUUGGGUUAAGUCCUAUAACGAGCGCAACCCCUAUCGUUAGUUGCCAGCGGGUCAUGCCGGGAACUCUAGCGAAACUGCCGGUGCAAACCGAGAGGAAGGUGGGGAUGACGUCAAAUCAUCACGGCCCUUACGUCCUGGGCCACACACGUGCUACAAUGGCCGGUACAGAGAGCAGCCACUACGCGAGUAGGAGCGAAUCUACAAAACCGGUCUCAGUUCGGAUCGCAGUCUGCAACUCGACUGCGUGAAGCUGGAAUCGCUAGUAAUCGC